UACAGAGGGGGCAAGCGUUGUUCGGAAUUACUGGGCGUAAAGGGCGCGUAGGUGGCCUUCUAAGUCGAACGUGAAAUCCCUGGGCUCAACCCAGGAACUGCGUCCGAUACUGGAAGGCUUGAAUCCGGGAGAGGGAUGCGGAAUUCCAGGUGUAGCGGUGAAAUGCGUAGAUAUCUGGAGGAACACCGGUGGCGAAGGCGGCAUCCUGGACCGGCAUUGACGCUGAGGCGCGAAAGCUAGGGGAGCGAACGGG
rnacentral:rRNA from 1 species